UAUCUCCCAAAGCUGCAGUUUCAAAACUAAACAUUAGGGUACAUCAUAACAGCCGUCAAUCCAUCCAGCCAUUUUCUGUACCGCGUAUCCUCACUAGGGUCGCGGGCGCGGUGGAGCCUAUCCCAGCUAUAGUGAUUGGACGAACAACACUAAUGCGUCAGCACUUUGCCGAGCGCACAAGAAAAAAAUCAUGUGACCGAUACAGGAAGUUUGGAUGUGCCGCGAAUUGUGUUUACAAAAGGAAACAAACUGUGCCGACAUGUUGCGGAUUUGUUGGAUGGAGUUUUGCUGUUGGAUUUUGGAUUUUCGCUUGGCCUCACCUUGUUCCACUGACUUCAUGGAUCUGUCCAAGAAGUUUUCUCCCAGUCUGGAAUAAUUUUGAUCUUUUGACGCCAAAUAAGGUGAAGUAAGUGUCGGCUCUGCUCCACAGAGCUAUCUUACAUCAAUAAGAAGAGCACUUCAUCCAUGCUGAGGCAUUAUAGAGCUCGGCAUGGCAAUGAAGAAUUGGCAGCUACUCGUGUGAGUACCCCAGGUCCUAACAAGCAAGGUGUGGAUGAGGCUGUGGUCAACGUGAUCAUCAAAGACUGUCAGCCACUCACCAUUGUUGAAAAUGAGUGAUUCAGGGAGCUCCUGAAGCUUAUCAACUCACACUUAAAUGUUUUUGCUCACCAUCUUCAUCUGUACCCUGUGAAAGAGUUUUUUGUAAGGGAGGGGAACUGGUGUCUGAGAGGAGAAAUCGCCUUGGAGCAAAGGCACUUCAAAAACCUUUGUUCCUCAAUAAAAAUGCAUAAAUGAA